rnacentral:rRNA from 1 species
CACGUAGGGCGCAAGCGUUGUCCGGAAUUAUUGGGCGUAAAGAGCUCGUAGGCGGUCUGUUGCGUCCGCUGUGAAAACUCGGGGCUUAACCCCGAGCCUGCAGUGGAUACGGGCAGACUAGAGGUAGGUAGGGGAGAAUGGAAUUCCCCGGUGUAGCGGUGAAAUGCGCAGAUAUCGGGAGGAACACCGGUGGCGAAGGCGGUCUCUGGGACGGUACUGACGCGAG